CCUGCCUUAGGCCAUUUCUUGUCUGAGCCUCAUCUGACAGCACUGGCUCUGCAUUACCAUAUUGAACUUAAGUCAGAGGAAGUAAUACUUGCAAAAAACUUUCUGAAGCGCAAGAGUGGGGCUGGUACAGUUCAGGACAUGCUAGCAGUGUACAAACUCCUAGAUUCUGAAAUGUUCCCUUCACUGAAAGCCAGUGGCGGUCCUAGGGCGCCAUCUAGUGAGGGGUGCCAAAUAUGCGGCGAGAAAAAAAAAUUAUAAUUAAAAUGAAAAAUGAAAGGUCUGUUUAUUUUUUCAACAGUUUUUGCCAUCCCUCUAUCUACAACAAUACUUUGACAUAAAAAAUAAAUUAAACUUAAGUAAAAGAAAUGACAAUUCUGAUGUGACCUUUAGCUGUCAUAAGUCACGGUCACAACAUGCUAGCACACACACUGAUGCACAGUCGGUCGGUCGGCUUUGUGUCGACGGGUUACAGCUACGGAAAAUGAAACGGCAAAAGCCAUCCGGGGCGCAGUUUCGAAAGCCCAGAAAAGAAGAGCAGGAGAAGCGUGCAAAAGACAAAGAUUCACUAUUAAAAUAUUUGGGACCACCUGCAGCUGGAUCAUCAGAGCAGGAACAGCCAUGCACCUCAGCUGCUCCGGUUUCCUCAAAACCACCAGAAGAGACACAAGAGCAUGCUGCUCUUCCUGCCAACCUCACCCUGCCUCUAACCACAGAGCCUGGAUGUUCAAGUGAGUGCAAGCUGCUCAUCUUGAUUGCACCACU
rnacentral:lncRNA from 1 species